rnacentral:lncRNA from 1 species
GCAAUGCGCUGCCUUGCCACCACAAGAGCAACACACUAGGAUGACUAAAGGACGUAACACUUCUGGACGGGAAUUACAUGUUCAAGAAUUGUUUUGAAAUGUACAAGGAAGAUAUUGGCAUUCUCCUUGCGCCAUCAGCCGUUCAACAUCUGCGAGCUGCAAAGGCUCUCCUGUAUGACAAGGAAGCAAUAGACGCGGCAUUCGCAAUGCUCAUUUUAUGUGCUUCCAAGGGAUGCGGCCAAAGGACGACCUGCGGAUGUGCGAGUCACGUUUAUGGGAGCUGCAAAAAAGAAUUAAAGUGUAUCCCCAGUGUUUGUUA